AUGUACCACACCCGGUGCUCCACGCAAUACGUGCUCUCCUUAAUACCCACCCAAAUCCAGAAAAAGAAGUCAUCCCUGGGACAUGAAGCUGUACAAUGGCCUCUCUGCAUGGUACCUGUCUGCUUCUCCUUCCCUGGAUGAUUAGGCUCAUAGUUCAGACUUGGAAAUGGAAUGUCCUGUACAAAGAUCUGAUAAUUUUAAAUAUUUCCAUUAUAAUCAUCAUAUAGAAAAGUAAGCAAGGAAAUGGGACAAAUGUUGCAUCUAAAGAUAAACAAUUAAACUCCUGGUGAAACAAAAAAGUGAUGGAAGGUAAUACACUACUGGAUGGAUGCAUUACAGAGCUUGGGAAUGGCCAGAACAUUUGAAAGCAGCUCUCAAUUCAAGGCACUAGAACUUUGAGACACAUAGGCAUUUCAGAUGGGGGACAAAAUGACCAUAAAAAGAAGAGAGACUUAAGGAAGAGUAACACCAUGGCUGUGAAAUGCCUUUUGAUAUGGACAGGGUUGUGUUAUUUUCCAUUUCAUCUCUUUUGGUCUUCUGUGGUCUUUCUCUUGAUGUGUAAUAGUGCUUUUUAUUUGCUACUUAACAUGUCUUUUAUGUAAAGAAAAAUUAAAAUUUAUAAUUAUUAGUGUGAA